rnacentral:rRNA from 1 species
ACGGGAGGCAGCAGUAGGGAAUAUUGCACAAUGGGGGAAACCCUGAUGCAGCGACGCCGCGUGAGUGAAGAAGUAUUUCGGUAUGUAAAGCUCUAUCAGCAGGGAAGAAAAUGACGGUACCUGACUAAGAAGCCCCGGCUAACUACGUGCCAGCAGCCGCGGUAAUACGUAGGGGGCAAGCGUUAUCCGGAUUUACUGGGUGUAAAGGGUGCGUAGGUGGCAUGGUAAGUCAGAUGUGAAAUACCGGGGCUCAACCCCGGGGCUGCAUUUGAAACUGCCAGGCUGGAGUACAGGAGAGGCAGGCGGAAUUCCUAGUGUAGCGGUGAAAUGCGUAGAUAUUAGGAGGAACACCAGUGGCGAAGGCGGCCUGCUGGACUGUUACUGACACUGAGGCACGAAAGCGUGGGGAGCAAACAGGAUUAGAUACCCUGGUA